rnacentral:rRNA from 1 species
UACGUAGGGUGCGAGCGUUGAUCGGAAUUACUGGGCGUAAAGCGUGCGCAGGCGGUCCGCAAAGUCUGAUGUGAAAGCCCCGGGCUCAACCUGGGAACUGCAUUGGAAACUAACGGGCUCGAGUGUGGCAGAGGGGGGUGGAAUUCCACGUGUAGCAGUGAAAUGCGUAGAGAUGUGGAGGAACACCGAUGGCGAAGGCAGCCCCCUGGGCUAACACUGACGCUCAGGCACGAAAGCGUGGGGAGCAAACAGG